CGGAAGCCAGGUCCUGCGCCUGUCGGGGCGGGUGGUGUCCGCGCGGAUCGUCGCCCUCCACGGGCCUCCGCGCUUGUCCCUGCUGGUCUGAGCCGGCGGGCAGGCCGCCGGGAGCAGGUUAAGUGUAGGGCGCGCUGCGCGGAGCCACGGUCCUUAGGCACCGCGUCUAAUGCGAUUUUCCUUCAACAGCAUCGGUAUUUGCAAAGCUUGUGCAAGUUGUAGCUCUUCGGUUAGAUGAGUACAAUCGUGACUUUAUUUGCAGUGGGACAAACGGAGUUGAGGAUCCGAGCCCAAUAUUCUUAGAGCCCACACUGCAUCCUUGCCAAAUUUCUGAUGGGAUGAACCCCAUAGAGCUGCAGCUGGACCUUCCUGGACAGUAGGAGCCGCCCACCACUGUGGCAUACGGCACGUGCAGUGGGGGACUGGUUGCCCGUGGUGGCCGGGCACCUGAUGAUAACCAUCACGAGGGAGCAGCUGGCCAUCGAACAGGACAGGACAACUCCAGAUCCUGAUCAGCACAGAGAGGACUCAGUGGACACUCCUUACUGACAAGCCCCUAUCUUCCAUUGGCUCCCCAUUUACCUUCCCACAAGGAAGCCCAAAGUCCUUAUCUUAUGUCUUGUUACUUCUCUAUUUGCUACGAAGAAACUCCAGGACUCCUUGUAUUGUGCCCUUGUUAAGAUGCGAUGGUGCAGCCAGAGAGCCAAGGAGGGCAGAGGAGGAAGGCCGAGUGUCCCCUGUGGGCCCAGGCCCAAGGUGGUGUCACAGGCGGGUCACGGGUGGAAGAACUUGUGGAGAGAUGGUAGUGUCCCACAGACCUGACGUCACAUCUCAGGAAGGGUAGGACAGCAUGCAUGACUACAGGGAGCAUCAAGACCCCGCUCGGCGCCUUGCCCAUAAAGCACACAAAAUGUUUGCUGAGUGUUUGUGUGGACCCUUCAAACCCCUUCUCAGUGGGACAGGCCAUGAAAGGCUCUUAGCCAGCUAAGCAGAGCACAACUUCAGUCCUGAAGGAAAUGAAGUGUGCUAGGAGAAGUUGGCUCAACUCAGAUUUAAAAUUACACGAAACAGCAGCCCUUGACCUCAAGUGUGGGUGGCACAGAUGGCGCUCUGUGGCCGAGAGGCCAGCUAAAGGGAGACAGUUAUUUCAGCCUUUUUUGAGGUUUAGUACUUCCUGCUUGGACACUUUUGGAAGUACAGGAAGCACAUGAGGUCCAACUAAGGGAUGGUGCCUCCAAAACCUUCCCUGUCCAGGAGAGCGCCCCCAAGGGGCCAGGCACCUUCCACAAGGCAAAGGGACCCGGCAAAGACCCACCCAGACCCGGGAAGAGCCUUGCUGCCGUGCUAGGAAGCUUGGCAGUGCCCCUGAUGUCACCUUCCUGAGGAAAAGGUCCUCGCAGCUUACCCGAAAUGAUCACCUUUCAGGCAAUGGCCGAGGCUAUGAUCCACAGCAGUCACCUGUGCAAGCAGAAGAGAAAACGGGAGCAAGAACGCGUGAGCAGGAAAACUCCGAACACCAGCCUGUCGCGGGUCUCCUGGAGGCUCCCGAGGGGCUGCAUCUGCAGCCCUGUGGCAUGGGCGGGGGUACAGGGUCAAGGCCCCCACGGUGGGGCUGGGACCCAGGAGGUGAGCCUGCCCGGGCUCCGCACUGGCCAGCAACAGCCCCAGCCACAGGGACUGGCCCCAGCCUAUUGGAGAGCCAGAGGCCUCUCCUCCCAAGGUGCUUGAAUGGCGGACACAGCUGUGCUGACCUCCUUCCUGAAGAGCUAACGUGGGCGCCAGUGCGAGUCCCAGGGUGCUGGCCGUGGGCUCGGUGCUCCUCCCAGUCGGGGGCAUUGCCCACCUCCUGUGUCUGGCUACAUGAGAGGUCUGCUCGUAGGGAGACGUGCAGAAGGGAGGUGGGCAGUGUGCAGGACGGUGCCCGCGGGGCCAAGCUGUGAGC